AGGGAAAUUAAAAUAAGAGGAAGUUUGUAUUAAAAGUGCUUAGACAGGUUAGUCACUAUAUCCAAAUAUAUCAUACUCGUCUCUUAGCCUACAUUACAACCAAAUAAAGUUCUCUUAAUCUUUGACUGAACAUCUCGAUUGGUAGAGUAUUACACUAGGGGCAAGCUUAUGGUGUAUCUGUGUGGCAUGUAAAUGUUCUUUGCUGAGAUUGAGUGAAUUUUGUCUAUAUAUGGUUCCUUGUUGCUUGAUUUUAUGUGUGUGGAACGUCUCUCAGAAUUGUGAUGUGAGGGCAUAUGACCCUGGAAGAAAAAGUGACUUUUCACCCCUGUUAGAGUAACUAGAGUGAGCAGAAGUGUGUCAUGGCAUUAGAGUCUUCAUCUGAGGAGUAAUUGUUGCACUGCUUAGGUUGUUCUUUCAUAAUGGCGGGUGUAACAUAAAUUUGGGUAAUGCAUCUAACGGUUAUGCCUAGAAGUGUGGUUUAACUUGCUCGAGGACGAGUAAAGGCUUAAGUGUGAGGUAAUAUGUGAAUUUAAAUUAGGCCCAAAAUAACCACCUUCUUGUAUAGUUUGGAUGAUAAAAGUGAUAACAAAAUGCUCUGAUUAGAGCUUUUCAUGCUUUGCAGGUGAUAUAUGAUAAGAGAAGGCUAUGGAGUACUUUUGGGAUCAAAUAUGGAGAAAAAGAGGCCAAUCGUAAAAUUUUGCCAAGUGAACCACACGAAGCAGCUCAAACCAAGCCUGAAGAAGGACUGCCGCGGUUCCACAACGACCGCAGCAGAACCGCGGUAGAAGAUUGUCGCGGACAAGUUGAGAUUCAGAGAAGGUGUUUGGCCGCGGUUUGAUCGCAACCGCGGCAGAGGCAGAAAUGUUCAGGUACUUAAGUGCAAAACACGGG
rnacentral:lncRNA from 1 species